CUGAAACUCGCCUACAUGAAGCUGGAGUUACUAGUAAUCGCAGAUCAGAAUGCUGCGGUGAAUGCGUUCCCGGGUCUUGUACACACCGCCCGUCACACCACGGAAGUUGGGGGCGCCCGAAGCCACUUAGCUAACCCUUUUGGGAAGCGAGUGUCGAAGGUGAAAUCAAUAACCGGGGUGAAGUCGUAACAAGGUACC
rnacentral:rRNA from 1 species